rnacentral:rRNA from 1 species
AUGUACGAUGACAGACACACCACCGAGUACAUUAAGGGUCUGCAUAAUUUUCUCGAAGUGGCUGAGGCAAACAAGCAGAAUGGUUUUAUGUGUUGUACAUGCCCUAUAUGUGGGAAUACGAUGUCUUACUCGAACCAGAAAAUCCUUCACACCCACCUGCUUUAUAAGGGUUUCAUGCCACACUGUAAUGUUUGGACGAAGCACGGAGAAAUAGGGGUUAUGAUGGAAGACAACGAACAAGAAGAGGACGAUGACAACUACGUGCCCCCUGAAUACCGUGAUGCUGCAACGGGGGAAGUUGCUGAAGAUCAAGAAGAACCAGAAGAUGUGCCUAAUGAUGAUGAUCUCCGCCGGGUCAUUGUUGAUGCAAGGACACAGUGCGAAAGUCAAAAGGAGAAGCUGGAGUUCGAUCGCAUGUUAGAGGAUCACAAAAAAGGGUUGUACCCUGCUACCUCUUGA